UACGGUAGGUGCGAGCGUUAAUCGGAAUUACUGGGCGUAAAGCGUGCGCAGGCGGUUCGUUGUGUCGGCGGUGAAAUCCCCGGGCUCAACCUGGGAAUGGCCGUUGAAACUGGCGAACUGGAGUGUGGCAGAGGGGGGUGGAAUUCCGCGUGUAGCAGUGAAAUGCGUAGAGAUGCGGAGGAACACCGAUGGCGAAGGCAGCCCCCUGGGCUGACACUGACGCCUCAGGCACGAAAGCGUGGGGAGCAAACAGG
rnacentral:rRNA from 1 species